GCACACACGAGUGCAGCAACCACGCGGCGAACCAACACGUUGUCCCCCCCCUUCCGGUGGCCUCGGCCGCGGCGGCUAAAUCCCGUCGCGUCCGUCGUCGCCGCGUCGGAAUACCGAAUGAUACCGAAUCACUUCGACCAAAUGACUUAGUCCCAUUUUGGACCCCUUAACUUCUAGUUAGGGGGCGAGAAAACGAGAAACAAAGAUGAACACAACUCUCAGCAACGGAUAUCUUGGCUCCUGCAACGAUGAAGAACGCAGCGAAAUGCGAUACCUAGUGGGAAUUGCAAAAUUCCGCGAAUCAUUGAGUCUUUGAACGCAAGUUGCGCCCGAGGCUCGACCGAGGGUUUUUCCGUUAGAGCGUCACCGCGCGCCCCCACCGAGCUCCCCAACCAAGGGAGGAGUUCGAGUGCAAUUGGCCGUCCCGAGGUUCCCUUUGUGGAAUCGGGUCGGCCGAAGUACCUUGGCAGACUCCGUGGCGACACGGCCCACGAUCGGGUGAUCCGAGCCCUUCUAAAGGGGCUCGGAAUUUUUCUAAGUGUGAGGCCGCGCCGCCCCGUGUGUCCCGAAGGAGGAAAGUGUUACAUGUUAAGUGUUACAUUGAAGUGAGCAGUGAAGUGUUACCAGAGUUACGCACCAGACCUCUAAUCGGGAAAGACUACCCGCUGAGUUUAAGCAUAUCAAUAAGCGGAGGA
rnacentral:rRNA from 1 species